GACGAACGCUGGCGGCGUGCCUAAUACAUGCAAGUCGAGCGCUGAGGGCUGGUACUUGUACCAUCCGGAUGAGCAGCGCACGGGUGAGUAACGCGUGGGGAAUCUGCCUUUGAGUGGGGGACAACAUGGGGAAACGAAUGCUAAUACCGCAUAAAAUCUUUAAACACAAGUUUUAAGUGUGAAAGACGCAAUUGCAUCAAUCAAAGAUGAUUCCGCGUUGUAUUAGCUAGUUGGUGAGGUAAAGGCUCUCCAAGGGGUUGAAGCCUUGCCCGCCUGAGAGGGUGGUCGGCCACAUUGGGACUGUGACCCGGCACAAACUCCUUGAGGUAGGAGCCGUAGGGAAACUUCGGCCAUGGGCGGAAAUCUUACCGAGAAACGCCGCAGGAGUGGAGAAGGUUUUCAGAUCGUAAAACUCUGUUUGUAGGGAAGAACGUUGGUGAGAGUGGAAAGCACAGUAAGUGACGGUAACUACUCAGAAAGGGACGGCUAACUACGUG
rnacentral:rRNA from 1 species